rnacentral:lncRNA from 1 species
GCGGGGUCCCGAGGUAGAGGGACUGGGGCCAGCUGAGGGUGAACUAGGGGGCCCUGUGGUGGCACCUACUGAUGUGGUGGGGGGUACUAGAAUGUGCUGUGGCGGUGCCUGGUGGUACCAUGGCUGUGGUGCCGGGUGGUACUGUGGAGGAACAGGCUCCUACUGGGGUGGCUUGAGAUCAGCCUGCUGUAGCAGGGGCUCAACCUGCGAUAGCGGAGGAGGUCCGGAUAACUCCCUUC